CUUCCGUGUGCGGCUUCCGUGUGUGGCAAACCCCCGUCAUCCGGUGGUCUGAGAGCUUGGAGUGGUGGUGCCUCUGCGGUGUGGGUCCCCGGUCUAGUCUAAUCCUCCCCUCAUCUGCAUGCUGAUCACGUUUGCCUGUGCUGUGGGACUGAAGUGCGGUGUGAAGUGUGUUUGUCUUGCACGUGUGCCUGGGGUGGCCUUUGUUUGGAUCCCCUCACCUCAUUUAGCCCACCUAUCUCCUGGUAAGCCUCAGCCAUCUUUUAUUUUUGAAUCGUGGGUUUUGUUUUGUUGAUUUUAAAUAAAGAUUGUUUAAUUGAUUGGA